rnacentral:lncRNA from 1 species
GGAGUGGGGAUUGUGUUCUCUCCAGGUGGGGAUGGGUCCCUGCAGGUGCCAGGCUGUGCAGAUGGGCUCUGUGCCUUGGGGACUCUGUCCCUUUGUUGGGUGAUGCAGCUGCAAGCUCAGCCUCUCAUGUCAAAGAGAGCCUGGGACAGCAAAAGCUCCAAUCCCAGCUCUUGGGAGGCAGAAUGCUGUGGGUGAAGCUGAAUGGUCGAUCAGUGGGUUUGUAAAUAACUGAAAAAAAAUUCUUUAGUUACUGAUCAGGUCUUUGGGAUGUGUGAAUGCCACCAGCUAAGUGCAGGGAGGUGCAGAUGAGAAUCUGGUUGUUCUCUGUGCCCAACACCACCUUGCAUCCUUUGAAGCAUUCCACACAUGGCAUUUUCCCAACCCUCUCCUGGUUGUGGCCUCAGGACUGGCAUUCACAACUCCUUGUCUGCCAUUGCCAUGGCGUUCCUGGGCUCCCCCUCUUGUUUUUGGCAGCAAGGAGUGCUGAAGGCACGUUCACUGGGAGCUGCCUGGCUGUAUUUUCCAGGAGCUGAAUCCAAGAGGAAGUGUGUCUGCUGUGGAUGAAAAUCCCAGGCUGUCUAGACCUUGGUGGCCAGACACCAUCUCCCCAGACUGCUUGUAAAAUACGAGGUCCUUUAUUAAAUACUUCUAGCAUUUUCUACUGCCAGACCAGAUCCAACAACAAAGCCCUUGUGAGUGGCAUCAGAGCAGUCCCUGCAAGCAAGACUUCUCUCCCGAGCUCUUGCCCUGUCCCAGGGUUUGGUGCUCCAGCAGCAGGGGCUUUCAGUGGAGGAACUGUCCCUCCAGCCCCUAUUAAUCCAAAAUCUCUAGUGCAGGGGUGUGUUUGUGUUUGCACCCAGCCUGGGUUUGCAGCUCUGGACUUGCCUGUGGUGAUGGCAGCCAGGAGGUGUGUGCUGGGUGCCAGGGUCCUGUCUGAGCUCAGUGCCUUCAGGGCAUCCCCUGUGACAGCCCCAGCGUGGCUGGCAGGGGCACAGAGUGGUGUAGACAUGGGGUGUGCAGGUGCUACCUGGAUGGGCAGCUCUGCCCUAAACCCAGCCUGGUUUAGCCUGUGUAUCCAAAGGGAUACUUGGAAUGCCUUUGCACCCAGAAAGCACUCGCUCCUGGGCAGGUGAUGGGCUCAGCUUUGAAAGGACAUGAAAAAUCCCUGGAGGUGUUUGCAGAGGGCACACAGGGAGGCCAGGAGCCCCAGUGGCGUGUCUGUCCCACAUGGUGGCCGCUGUGCUGUGACAAGGAGCACUUGUCCCUUGUGCCAAAGGCAUGUGGAGCUCUCUGAGGGCACGAUGGUGCUGUGCCAGCUGCCCAGCCACAGCCAGGAGUGACCUGCCUACAAAACUCACCAGCAGAUUCCCGUGGGGCAGCCAUGUGGAAGGAGCACAUGAUGCCCCUCACUUGUCCUCCCCAGACAAUUCCUGACUGUUCUCUGCCACCCCCGACAUUCCUGCAGACACUAAGGAGGAGCAAUGCUCCCUGCAGAGCCACCCAGGCCUUGGAAGGGCACUUCAGGUCUUCUUCAUCUGGAGACAUUUUGUCUCAAUGCACUGAAUCUCCUCGCUGGCUGCUGCAGACACAUCUACCUGCCAGACCCAGCCCACUGUGAAGGACAGGCCCAGUGCCACAGCCCCCAGAGCUGUGGCAGCCAUCUGCAGGACAGAGAAAGCCCAUCCUUGUCUCUUCUUCUGACCAAAAAUCCCAUGGUGGUGGUGGUACUAAAAGUAACACCUUCCCAUCUGUUUAUACCAGACAUGGCUGUGACAGCUGUGUUUGGCUGUGUAGGACUAAUGAAGAGCUGGACUAAAAUAGGCAUGGUCCAGAAAACACUGCAGUUUUUGCAUCCUUCAGCUCUCCUGGGAGCACGAGCAGCCGAGUUCCUGUCAAGUGCUGUGGUUGUAAACGCCUCUGGCACAUGCUGCAGAGUGAGGGCAGAGGCACUGGAGUGACAAUAACAGAUUUAUUUCAUGGCUCUCCAAUGUACUGCUACGAAUUGGGAGUCUAAUGGGAAACUCAGUGUGUUCCAAGGGGAAAAGGCACUUGCUAACAUUGACACUGUGAAAUGCUGUUGUGCUUGUGCAUGUGUGCAUGUGUGGGUACGUAACAAAAUCAUCACAUGGAGAUUUUCAGGCAGCUUGUUGCAAUUUUCACAUUUCCUCUUUACCUUUCAAGCUACCUCCCAGCCCUUCCCUUCUCCCAUUCCCACUUCCUGCUGAGGAUCAGCCUGUGGAGGGUGUUUGGUGGGAAUGCUCAGCAGGUUGGAUGUUCUCAGUUGGUUCAAAUCUUGCGGAGCAUCACAGGGCAGAGCAGAGGAAGCAAAGCAUAUGUGGACAGUAAAAAGUUAAAAUGUGCUUUGUAGGUGACUUCCAGCUGUUGCCACCAGCCCAUUUGCUGGAAUAACAGCCCAGGGGUGUGGAGAAGAAAGGAAGAACAGACCUGUAAGACACAGCACUGCCAUGAGGAAUCACUUGUCCUAGUGGCCGUGGGGACACAAAACAGGGCACUGUGAGCUGCACAUCCCCUCCCCAAAGGAUCUGCUCUCCUCCCUAGUAAACCCUCAGAACUGCCUUUCAUCAAUUAGUGGGGUUUUGUGCUUUUCAGCAGCUGAGGUGCUUCUCCUCUCCCUAACACCCUCCCUGCCGAGCAGCAGCUUCCAAAGGCAGCAGUCCGUGCUGGGGCUUCCGUGUGAUCCAGAUAAACGUGGCUGUCCCAGGGUUUCCCACUGCUGCAGGGCUCCUUUAGUGCUCUAACCCCAGGGAUCCAUCCCAUGGCUCCACUGCAGUUGUACAGCAGGGUCAGCUCAUGGACACACGCCAGGGUAAGGGCAGGGCUGGGGGACUGGGGACACAGCAGAGCUCCAUCCCUGUGAGCUCUGCCUGGCAGGAUCCCCUGUCCCCAGAGCAGGAUCCUGCUCUCCUCACUGCCUGGAGCUGCUCCCUGCUGGCCUGGCCUGAGCUGAGCAGAGGGACCUUCAGCAGCACCAGCUGCUGGCUGCUCUGCAGGGCUUUUCCCACACUCCCUGGAGCUGCUCUUGGAAUCUGGGUUAAAGGAAAGGUUGUUCCCCGGGAAUCAUCACCCAGGCUCUGGAUUAGCGGUGACCUCUAGAGAGAACCUCUUGGAGGGUUUGAGCAGCUGAGGAAACUUCUUGUUAUAUUUGCCAGGCUGAUUUAUAUUAAUCCUGGAGUCAGGGCUUGAACUCUGCUGCAUCGUUAACAGUUGUAUCCUCUGAUGAUGCAAUAAAUCUGGGGCUGCCUUGGAUGUACAGCAGAGUACUGGAAGUGUCGCUGCUGUCUGCUUUGGUUUAGUGGAGUUUAUUGUUUUAAUGUAAAUCAUCUUCUUUCCUGUAUGUCUAACUUGAGGCUGAUUUAAUGUAGGUCUUUUUCCAUCCUCAAAAAUGUUACAUAUUUGCAAGUUCUUCACAUACAGGAUUCAAUUUUUUUUAUCUACAGUCACAUCUUGGCGUUUUUUAUUUAAACUUAUUCAGGACGUCUUUGCUUCUUGUAGUUCUUUGCCCUUGCCAGGACACAACCUUGGCCUGUGUUUGCUUCCAUAUGUGUUCCAAUCUUCCACUGCUCUCCCAGAAAACUCCCUGCACUCUCCAAAUGUUUCCUGGAAUUUACCUCCUUGCUGCCCCUGUGUAAACUCCUGCCAACUCCACUGACAAAUGUUAUUUGCAGAAAUUUGGGACUGGAAGCAAGAAGUCCUCUCUCCCCACAAAUCUUUUCCUGAAUCUGCAUUCCUGCUCUCUUAACACUCAUUCAGCAGUACCUCUCCCAUUUUUCUCCUUCUUACAUUCUGCAAGAAAUUCCUCUGUGAGCUCUGCAGGAGUGCAGCAGCAGUGCCACUCUGUCUCCUGGUCUGGUUCCACGGGGACAUCCCAGUGCCCCAUUGCCACCCCUGCAAACAAACCACAACUCAGCCUUGCAGGCCUCAUUUUUUAUCAGCAACUCCAUUUUGCCUUCAUGGAAAAAAGAACAACAAACACUUGGCUGAUCCAUUUCCAACUCUUUUGUUCCAGUAAACUUGAGGAAUUGUUCACGUGCAACUGUAGCUUCAACUUCUACCUCUGGGGUCGGUCUGGAGCUCUUGUACAGAUGUCAUGCUGUAUCCUUUGGUUAUUCCAACUAAGUCGGGGAGGGAAGGAAUAAUUUUUGUCUUUAAGAGCCAAACAGCUGUGUUAAGAAAAACUAAUGGAAGGGGUUCAAGGAGGAGCCCUGCCCAUGGCAGGGAGUUGGAACAAGAUGAUCUUUAAGGUCCUUUCCAACCCAAAGCAUGCCAGGAUUCCAUGAGGACUCUACCUGAGGAUGAAGCUGGCAGGCAGAGCCCCCUUUUCCCCAAAUGGCCUUUGGUCUGAACUUCAGCUCACUGACCCCAGGCUGAGUGGGCUGGGUUGGGAGAUAGAGGCUGGUAAAAUCACCAGUCUGGGACAGAUGGUGUGGCACACCCACAGCCUGGCUUGGCCUUUGCUGGUGGAGAAUAAAUGUGAAAUCUCUGAUUGCUAUCAAAUAUUGGCAUUCAGGAGCCUUCACACAAGGUUACGAGCUGGUGGAUUUUUGAUGUGCUGGCUCUGCAAAUGCUGGAGGUGCUUCCACUCAAAAGGGAUACACAGAAAUGAAGGAAUAAAUAUACAGAUAGGUGCAGCCAGAUCAGGGCUUCUGUAACAGCCAGAACUCUGUGGGAGGUAUAAAAGAUAAAUAGAUUUUGAUUCUUGGUUCUGGCAGAUGUAAUUCACAAUGAUAAAAAUUUCAUGCCCUUAAAUCAGAAAAGAUGUGAGAAAGGUGAGAAAGCAGCAGUCACUGCUUCUGACAGUAACAUCUCGAAGGCAGGGGAAGCAGAAUAUUCCUUGGCACAGAGCACAGUGGUUGGAGGGUGGAACUCAUGGCUGAACAUGGAUAACCACCACUAGAUGGAUUGAUAGGAAAAGGAGAGAUGACUUUAAGCUAAAGGAGCAUAAGUUUAGGUUGGAUUUUAGGAAGAAAUCCUUCCCUGUGAUGAUGGGGAGGCCCUGGCACAGUUUCCCCAGAGCAGCUGUGGCUGCCCCAUUCCUGGAAGUGCCCAAGGCCAGGCUGGAUGGGGCUUGGAGCAACCUGGGAUAGUGGAAGGUGUCCCUGCCCAUGGCAGGGGGUGGGACUGGAUGAGCUUUAAGGUCCUUUCCAACCCAAAAUGUUCUGGGAUUCAAAAAGUGACUGAACGAACUUCUAAAAGACUAACCUUGACACAAAAAUACCUCUUCCAAUUUCUCUGGGUCAUGGAUGCCUGGGGGCACAGGGUGUAUAACAGGAUUCCUGCAAAAAUUCUUUAAUUCAAUCAUAUUCUUGGGACUGACACAUUCUACUGACACAUCUUUAAAAGCCCAAACACUCCAUCAAGCAUCUUUGCUUUUCCAUUUUCACUCUUUCUGGGGAAGGAUUUCUGUGUGGAGCCAGUAGGCUUCCCAUGUCAGAGGAAACCUCUUGCUUCCUCCUCCCAAUUUCUUGUGUAUCCUAAGGCAUCCCUGGGGCUCAGGAAAAGCCCAAAAAGAGAGAUUGACUGGGUGAUCCAUCAUGUGUUGGAUGUGGAAGCUCUCUGUGGAAGCAUUCUUACCUCAAACCUCCUUUCAUGACCUGGAGACCCUUAGGAGUGCUGGGUAUGAGAGAUCCCUGUCCUUCCCUUCCUCUGCUCUAGAGAGGUUUCUGACAGUGAGAUUUGUUCCUCUGCAUUGACUGGCUCUGCCUUGUGACCUGCUGGUUGUUUGGGAACUGACCAUGAGUCCAAAUGGAUGUGUCAGAGCUGCCUCAAAAGUAAAACACAGGAAAGGAGACUGGGACAAGCUUCUAAAAGGGCAAAAAGCUCUUGGUGCAAUGGAGCAAUUCAGGGCUGGGCUGGGGAGUGCAGGGAAGUCCCAGAGGGGUCCCAGAGCAGGCAUUGAUAUUGAAUGGCUCCAGGAUAGGAUGCAGGCAGGGAUUAAGUGCAAGGUUUGGUUCUGAGUGCUGGCCCAGCUAUGAAGAUGAAUUUGUUCUUUAUGUCCUGGGAAGAACUUAGAUCCGGACAUUAAAACCCUUCAUUGCUCAAUCUGCCUUGAUGGCACAAGUGAAAAGGUCUUUGGCACAGGCAGGGAUUUUUAUCCCUCUGCAGAGCAGCCCAGGAAUGUGGGAGAAGGGUCAGGCUGGAGCUGAAGGGUCCCUGAGUGUGUCUUCCUGGCCCUUGCAGACCCUUGUGAGCUGCAGGGGACCAGGGAAGGGGCAGGUUUGGUGCACCAGUGCUUCUUGCUUGGCCCCACCUGGGCUCUGGUCUCCAGGAGGAAUGGAUGGGUUAUGAGCUCUCUGAUGGUUCUUUUUCCCUCUAAAAAUCCCAGCUUCUGUGUCUAGGAUCCCAGGAGCAUUGGGAUCAUAGGAAAAUUCCUGCUUUUAGUGAAGGACGGUGCAGCCCUCAUGUGAGGUGGCCAAGGUUCAGGGCUGUAGGUUUCAUGUUGGCCUUUCUCUGAAGUACAGAGAAACAAAGUUCAGAUUGCAGGAGCUCCCAAAAUCCUCCCGGGUUCUGGAGUGAGGACUUGCUCAGGGUGAGGCUGUCAGGUGUGGCUGGGUCCCUCAGGUCUGUAGAAGCACUCACCAUCCAUCCUUCAAGCUCCAGAGUUUUCUUUUCAAGCUGUUCAACAGUGGAGGCAAGUGAAACAGCCCAGCUCCCCCUGCCCAUGGGCAGAGGGACAGACAAGUGUGGUCAUUCCUAUCCAAUCCUACAGUGGGAUCUGAGCAGUGAAAAGCCUGGUUUGAGCAGGGGAGCAAGGAAAGCCUCCUUGGAGGGUGAGAGAGUUGGAGACACUAAGCAGGAGCUGCAGCCUGUGGAUGCCCUGACAAGGAGAGCGGUGCUGGUGCCGGGCUGUGGGCGCCCUCCUGGAUCCUCCAGGCUCUCCUGCCCGAGUCCUGGGUCCUGGCUUUGCUUCUGCCCUCUUAGGAUGAUCCUCCAAGACCCCCCAUCACAGCACAUCCCCUGCCAUCCUGGAGAUGGAGGGGGAGAAAUCAAGGAUCAGAGAUAGGGACGUGCAUCUGCUUCUUCUUUGUGGAUCCACAGCCCCUGCAUUGGAGAUUUCUGUUGGGUGCCCUCCUCCAGUGACUUCUCUAUUCAUUUUUCAGCCUGUGACUCUUGCACCCAUUUCUUUGUCAUUGCUUGUCCUCCAGCUCUCUCUCUCUCUGCUGUUUCUUUGCCCUCUGUCCCCUCCCCAGUAUGGAAGGGCGGGUGAUUUGUUCAGGUUUGGGCCAUAGCCAGGGGUUCCCUUCCUUGGAGCUGGCUCAGCACGUCUCUGCAGGGAACCUCUGUUUAGCUACAUCCCUUCCCAUUAAAAAAUCCCCCCUUUGCCUCCCGUUCUUUCUGGAAGCAUCCCCCUCACAUCACAGAUCUUCCUGGAUAAAGCAGUAGGAAGGUGUGUGAAGGCAGAUCUGGUGUGUCAGGAUCCCUGGCCAGUGUUCCCUAGGGCAGCUCAGGGAAAGGCUCCAGCCCUGCCUCUUGCCACAGGAGAAGGAGGAGCACAUCCAUCAGCGUUAGAACACAAUUCGUAUUUCCAGGUUUGCUUUGGAAGGGCUUUGCUGACCUUGUGUCACUCCCUGCCAUGCUGUUUGCAUUGAUGUGAACUCAGUCUACCCAGGGAGUGCUUUGAGGCCCUGGUUUAAGUUUGGGGAGCCUGGGGGUGUUCUGCCCCUGAAGCCAGAGCUGAGGAGUCACAGUUCUUGCUGGAUAAAUGAGCCUGGUUCUUCCAAAAACGUCCCAAAUAAAGGCAUGACCCUUCUCACUUCUCCAAGCUGUGGUCUGAGAGCAUUGGGGAGCAGGAAACAGGAGUUUGGGAGCUCAGAGAUCUCCUCUCAGGAUGAGCUGGGCACAGGUACCCAAACAUCCUUCCUGUGCCAUCAUCCACCCAUGGCCUUCUGAGGAACUGAAGAGCCAACGGAGCUGUCUGUGCUCCCUUUCCAAGAGACUCCUUGCAGGGAAGAUUUUUUCCUGGCUCAGGUACCAAAUCCCAAGAAGGUCCCAGAGGGAAGGGGGGUGACAGUGAGGUGGCAGGAGAGAUGUGGCAGGGAAUUGUCCAUCAGGGCAUUGGCUCCUGUGAUCUGCUGAUGGGGCCCUCCUGCAGGACACGGUGUGACACAUCUGUUGUGAAAUGUCCUUCCUUGGGAGAGCUGUGGAGGAGCUGCUGAUGGCACAGGGAGGGUUGCAGGGAGAGGAGCUUUGCCAGGCUCUGACCUCGUGGUCGUGGCUCUGGAAGGAACUGCAGAGUGGGAUGGGGAAAUGGGGUGAGUCCUUCAGCCCCCCAAAGACAAGAGUGUCAACACUGUGUCCUGUCCUCCCCUGCCACCAGACCCAGGACCCAUCACUGGGCUCCACGGUGUCCCAGCCCUGGCUUCCUGCUCUUUCUGCCUGUUGGCCGUGACCCUGAGGACAACAGAACACUUCUCAUGACAGUAUUUGUAUUUUUUUUAAUUGUGAAUGGGGAGAUCAUGUGCAGGUCCUUGUUACACAGGGAUGUGUCUUCCAUUCAGCCCAGGGCUUCCCUGGCUUUGUCAGAUGUCUUUCGAUGUUACUGAGAAUAAAUAAAUAAAUAAAUAAAUAAAUCAGAUGUAUUUAUAAAGGAAACAGAAACCUGCUGCUCCAAUGUCUUUGUAGGAGUAUUUUUAACAAAACAUUUUUUCAAAAUAAAUGUGAAUUGUAAAGUUUGAA